rfam:Picea glauca, whole genome shotgun sequence.
ACAUGCCUACAACAUAGCAUUAGUGCAUUGAAUUCCAUUAGAACUUUGUAGUUAAGCAUGCUCGGGCUAGAGUAGUAUUGGGAUGGGUGACCGCCAGUAAGUCCUAGUGUUUUACAUGCC